UGGGGAAUUUUGGACCAUGGGGGAAACCCUGAUCCAGCCAUCCCGCGUGUGCGAUGAAGGCCUUCGGGUUGUAAAGCACUUUUGGUAGGAAAGAAACGUCAUGGGUUAAUACCCCGUGAAACUGACGGUACCUGCAGAAUAAGCACCGGCUUACUACGUGCCAGCAGCCGCGGUAAUACGUAGGGUGCAAGCGUUAAUCGGAAUUACUGGGCGUAAAGCGUGCGCAGGCGGUUCGGAAAGAAAGAUGUGAAAUCCCAGAGCUCAACUUUGGAACUGCAUUUUUAACUACCGGGCUAGAGUGUGUCAGAGGGAGGUGGAAUUCCGCGUGUAGCAGUGAAAUGCGUAGAUAUGCGGAGGAACACCGAUGGCGAAGGCAGCCUCCUGGGAUAACACUGACGCUCAUGCACGAAAGCGUGGGGAGCAAACAGG
rnacentral:rRNA from 1 species